rnacentral:rRNA from 1 species
CCUACGGGGGGCUGCAGUAAGGAAUAUUGGACAAUGGACGAAAGUCUGAUCCAGCCAUGCCGCGUGAAGGAUUAAGGUCCUCUGGAUUGUAAACUUCUUUUAUAUGGGGCGAAAAAAGGGCAUUCUUGCUCACUUGACGGUACCAUAUGAAUAAGCACCGGCUAACUCCGUGCCAGCAGCCGCGGUAAUACGGAGGGUGCAAGCGUUAUCCGGAUUUACUGGGUUUAAAGGGUGCGUAGGCUGAUAGGUAAGUCAGUGGUGAAAUCCUGGAGCUUAACUCCAGAACUGCCAUUGAUACUAUCUAUCUUGAAUAUUGUGGAGGUUUGCGGAAUAUGUCAUGUAGCGGUGAAAUGCUUAGAUAUGACAUGGAACACCUAUUGCGAAGGCAGCAGGCUACACAUAUAUUGACGCUGAGGCACGAAAGCGUGGGGAUCAAACAGGAUUAGAUACCCUUGUAGUC